GCGUAAAAUGCAAGAGGAGGAAUGCUGAUGGGACGGCCGUGUUCGGUUGCUGCAGUCGUUGGUGAUUUACAUUGUUUCCUUACUGAGGGGUUGUACCUGAACCAGUAUGGAAAGUAAGGACAAUAACAGUGAGCAAAAUGUUUUCAGACACACUUACCUCUCUUUUGCCAUUCUUUACUCACUUGUGGACUGCAAAUGUGGGACUACAUGGAUGCUUGAAGCGGCCCCUUGAGGGUGAUUGGCAGCUGUGGCUGUGCGCUGAUGGUGUUGACUGUUGGAGAUGUCACCGGAUACUCGGACUCAGCCGUCAGCAGUGCUGCUGUAAAUAUGAUUGACAGCUCAUGUUGCUGAAGCCCUUCUUCGACAAACUUGCCAAUUAUCGCCCAUAAACUUGUCUCUGUGAUUAUAGUAUGUCAUCAUGACACCAGUGUUAUCACUAUUGGGUGUCAAAAUGUUGCCUUAAUGAUGUGGGGAAUUUUAAGGUGGAACUAAAAUUUGUCACAUGAAACCAACCCAACAUAUUGUGCUCGAGAUGACAACUGGGAGUGGUGCAACCUAAAUUCAACAAUUCAUUAAGACCAAAACGAAGACUUUCUGUAUGAAUCCGAGGGUGGGAGUGACCAAAUCAGUAUCCAAGAGCCACACCCAUUGAUACUUGUGGUAAUACACAAAACAGUAAGUGUUAUGUUAGAGAUGUGUUCUUUGUGGAUGGUAUUUCCGAUGAAGACUUCUGAAAUGUAUUGAUUUAUAUAUUAUAUUUGCAUUUCCACAUUAGUGUAGGAAUAUAAUUGUUUUUAGCCAUUUUAGCAGCUGUAUGGAGGGUACUGUGGGGCAGUUGA